rnacentral:rRNA from 1 species
GACGAACGCUGGCGGCGUGCUUAACACAUGCAAGUCGAACGAUGAAGAAAAGAAUCGAAGCUUCGGCAGAAAUUCAUUUCGGAUUAGUGGCAGACGGGUGAGUAACGCGUGAGCAACCUACCUCUUACAAAGGGAUAGCCUCGGGAAACCGGGAUUAAUACCAUAUAACAUUGUGACGAAGCAUUUCGAUGCAAUCAAAGCUACGGCGGUAAGAGAUGGGCUCGCGUCCCAUUAACCGGAUGGUGAGGUAACGGCUCACCAUAGUGACGAUGGGUAACCGGCCUGAGAGGGUGAACGGUCACACUGGAACUGAGACACGGUCCAGACUCCUACGGGAGGCAGCAGUGGGGAAUAUUGCACAAUGGAGGGAACUCUGAUGCAGCGACGCCGCGUGAGUGAUGAAGGAAUUCGUUUCGUAAAACUCUGUUCUAUGGGAAGAAAAGGACUGUACCAUAGGAAAAAGCUCCGGCUAAAUACGUG